rnacentral:tRNA from 2 species
GCGGAUAUAGUCGAAUGGUAAAAUUUCUCUUUACUGAGGAGAAGACAUGGGUUCGAUUUCCGCUAUCCGCC